GUUCAUGUUUUCAUUUCUUGUAUUGCAAUUCUUGCAGAGCAUGGCACUUUCUGAUCACCCAAAGGGGGAAUUCAUAUCUCCGAAAACGAACAGAGAAUUCAGGGUGGAAGCCUACCCCAAUUUCAUUCCCUUCAUAGAUAGGAAAAAAUUAAGUUCGCAUCCAUAUAUUUUUGCUCCUGUUUGCCACUCGGGACAUUGGUGGUUAUGGCUGAUAAAUACAAGAACGCGGAAAUGUCAAAUACUUGACCCGCUGCACAAAAAAGCUCCAAGCCAUGAGAGAAAGGACAUUAAUAAAUUCACUGGAUAUGUAUUUUCGAGAUUGAUAGCAUAUGCCGGCGGGA